rnacentral:sRNA from 1 species
AAACUGUUAAAGGUGGGAACUUAUCAGCAUCAGAAGCCACAUACCAUUCACAUGAGAUCAAAACCAGUGAUGAGCAUACCAGGUAAAAGGAGUUGAGUUCUAUUAGGAGGAAGAAAAGCGGAUAAGGGCACAGCAGGAAGUGUGACUGAGCAGACUGAGUCUAAGGGGAGGUGGGAAACAGAGUUAGCAGGACGUUAAGACCAUCUCUUUCCUGGUGGGAUGACUGAAUUCUCUCUCCUACUGCCCACCACUGCCACUGCCACCCUGCCAACCAACUUCCACAGUUGACCUGAUCAUGAAGACCUGCUUUAGCCCCAACAGAGUGAUUGGACUCUCAAGUGACUUGCAGCAAGUAGGAGGGGCAUCAGCUCGCAUCCAGGAUGCCCUGAGCACAGUGUUGCAAUAUGCAGAGGAUGUACUGUCUGGAAAGGUGUCAGCUGACAAUACUGUGGGCCGCUUCCUGAUGAGCCUGGUUAACCAAGUACCAAAAAUAGUUCCCGAUGACUUCGAGACCAUGCUCAACAGCAACAUCAAUGACCUGUUGAUGGUGACCUACCUGGCCAACCUCACACAGUCACAGAUCGCCCUCAAUGAAAAACUCGUAAACCU